AGAUUACAUUCCCAGUGACCUUCCACUGCAACAUGCUAUCUGGAACCAGAGGAUAAAUUUCCUAGAAGAUGCAGCAUGAUCAUUCUCUUGGAGGCUCUGAGACCACAAUCAGUCCUGGGGUUUCCCCAUGUGAUGGUGAUGGCAGCAAAAUGGUGGAGACUGCUCACUGUGUGCCUGGUUUGGCCUUCCUCUUGUGAUGAGUAGCUUCCAUGCAGACUCAUCUGUACUACUUCUACUGCAUGGCCAGAGUGCUCCCCUGCCUUGCACCAACUCUGAGAUUUAAUUCUAAAAUCUUAGUGUCUCCAAUGGUCAGUUUUAAAUGAUUCUUACGGAAAAGCCAAUCAGUCAAGCCAGAAAACCCUGCUUGGGCUUUUAUUUGAACAUAUGCAAAUAAUUUGUUGUUUAAAUCUCUGGAAACUCUCACGUGUUGAUUCAUUUUUCUGUAAAUCACCCAG
rnacentral:lncRNA from 1 species